rnacentral:rRNA from 1 species
GCGAGUCGAGCGGAGCGAAAAGUAGCUUGCUACUUUGCCGGCGAGCGGCGCACGGUUGAUUAAUGUCUGGGAAACUGCCUGAUGGAGGGGGAUAACUACUGGAAACGGUAGCUAAUACCGCAUAACGUCGCAAGACCAAAGAGGGGGACCUUCGGGCCUCUUGCCAUCAGAUGUGCCCAGCAUGGGAUUAGCUAGUAGGUGGGGUAACGGCUCACCUAGGCGACGAUCCCUAGCUGGUCUGAGAGGAUCGACCAGCCACACUGGAACUGAGACACGCUCCAGACUCCUACGGGAGGGAGCAGUGGGGAAUAUUGCACAAUGGGCGCAAGCCUGAUGCCGCCUUGCCGCGUGUAUGAAGAAGGCCUUCGGGUUGUAAAGUACUUUCAGCGGGGAGGAAGGUGUUGCAGGUUAAUAACCACAGCGAUUGACGUUACCCGCAGAAGGAAGCAGCGUCUAACUCCGUGCCAGCAGCCGCGGUAUUACGGAGGGUGCUCGCGUUAAUCGAAAUUACUGGGCGUAAAGCGCACGCAGGCGGUCUGUCAAGUCGGAUGUGAAAUCCCCGGGCUCACCGUGGGAACUGCUUUCGAAUCUGGCAGGCUAGAGUCUUG